AACUCUGGUAUUGAUUGGUGCUUGCAUCAUGAUUUACAUUUGAGUGAGUGGCGAACUGGUGAGUAACACGUGGGAAACCUGCCCAGAAGCGGGGGAUAACACCUGGAAACAGAUGCUAAUACCGCAUAACAACUUGGACCGCAUGGUCCGAGUUUGAAAGAUGGCUUCGGCUAUCACUUUUGGAUGGUCCCGCGGCGUAUUAGCUAGAUGGUGGGGUAACGGCUCACCAUGGCAAUGAUACGUAGCCGACCUGAGAGGGUAAUCGGCCACAUUGGGACUGAGACACGGCCCAAACUCCUACGGGAGGCAGCAGUAGGGAAUCUUCCACAAUGGACGAAAGUCUGAUGGAGCAACGCCGCGUGAGUGAAGAAGGGUUUCGGCUCGUAAAACUCUGUUGUUAAAGAAGAACAUAUCUGAGAGUAACUGUUCAGGUAUUGACGGUAUUUAACCA
rnacentral:rRNA from 2 species